rnacentral:rRNA from 1 species
UAGGGCACUGGAAGGUCCCUAAACCGAAAGGGGCUCUGCCCGCCCGAGGAUGGGCCGGCGGCCGAUUAGGUAGUUGGUGGGGUAACGGCCCACCAAGCCCAUAAUCGGUACGGGCAGUGAGAGCUGGAGCCCGGAGAUGGACACUGAGACACGGGUCCAGGCCCUACGGGGCGCAGCAGGCGCGAAACCUCCGCAAUGCUCGAAAGAGCGACGGGGGGACCCCAAGUGCCGUGGUACAACCACGGCUUUUCCGGAGUGUAAGAAGCUCCGGGAAUAAGGGCUGGGCAAGGCCGGUGGCAGCCGCCGCGGUAAUACCGGCGGCCCGAGUGGUGGCCACUAUUAUUGGGCCUAAAGCGUCCGUAGCCGGGCUUGUAAGUCCCUGGCGAAAUCCCACGGCUCAACCGUGGGGCUUGCUGGGGAUACUGCAAGCCUUGGGACCGGGAGAGGCCGGGGGUACUCCUGGGGUAGGGGUGAAAUCCUAUAAUCCCAGGAGGACCGCCAGUGGCGAAGGCGCCCGGCUGGAACGGGUCCGACGGUGAGGGACGAAGGCCAGGGGAGCAAACCGGAUUAGAUACCCGGGUAGUCCUGGCUGUAAAGGAUGCGGGCUAGGUGUUGCUUGGACCUCGAGUCCAAGCAGUGCCGCAGGGAAGCCGUU